AUAUGAUGACGGACGUACAAGAGAAAAUCGAUACAACCAUUUAAGUUGGUUACAGUGAGAGAAAUACCAACUCAUAUGAGCCCUGUAAGAUAAAAAUAAAAAUGGAUACAGAUGACAUUAACAAAUAACAGCUGGUCUACUUUGUGGUAAUUGCUAGUGAAGCUGAGAAUGUAUAGGUCAAUGCUAUGCUGACAAGCUCAUUUAGAAAAUCACGAUCACAUA
rnacentral:lncRNA from 1 species